rnacentral:rRNA from 1 species
GAUUAACGCUGGCGGCGUGCCUAACACAUGCAAGUCGAGCGGGCGCCAAUUUGUAGCAAUACAGAUGAAGCGCUAGCGGCAGACGGGUGAGUAACACGUAGUCAACCUACCUUUGCGUCCGGGAUAACUAGCCGAAAGGUUAGCUAAUACCUGAUACGAUCACCGAGCGGCAUCGUUUGGUGAUGAAAGCAGCAAUGCGCGCAUUGAGGGGGCUGCGGCCCAUUAGCUAGUUGGUGAGGUAACGGCCCACCAAGGCAACGAUGGGUAGCUGGUCUGA